AACUGAUUUGACUGUGAUUCCUGUACCAGUUCAGCAAAAGAGAAAUCGUUUCCUGCCCAGAAAAUGCCCUGGAGACUAUCACAGUGUCCACAAUUUGGGUCUUCCAUUCAGGGUCAAUGACAGUGCUUCAGAAGUUUUUUUCAGGCUUCUAAACUGUGGUGGGAAACUUUGGAUAAUCACAGGUCGUGUCAUGUGUACAUCCCUCCAGAUGGUAAAAGCCUGAUAUAAUGGCGGAAAAUUAUGCAGAAUAAGAUGCCAUUUCACAUUGGCAACAACUGCAAAGCAACCAAAAAGAAGGAAGACGGUUUUAUGAGCAGCUUUUAAAGUAGCCUUGUAAUUUGACCUUGGGAGAUCAAAUUAUGGAAAGUCUGUAGCAGAUGGAAACAUACAAUACAGUGAAUUUUCUGAAUGUAUAAUGAACAAACUAUUUGAAAUUGUUUUAAAUGUUAACAUCAAGUGUCAAUUUACAGCUCUGUGCCAGUGUACUAAUCUAUUACACACAUACUCCACAACAAUACAUACUUCUAUUGUUUCAUUGAUAAUAAAACAA